rnacentral:rRNA from 1 species
UACAGAGGUCUCAAGCGUUGUUCGGAUUCAUUGGGCGUAAAGGGUGCGUAGGUGGCGUGGUAAGUCGGGUGUGAAAUUUCGGAGCUUAACUCCGAAACUGCAUUCGAUACUGCCGUGCUUGAGGACUGGAGAGGAGACUGGAAUUUACGGUGUAGCAGUGAAAUGCGUAGAGAUCGUAAGGAACACCGGUGGCGAAGGCGGCAUCCUGGACCGACAUUGACGCUGAGGCGCGAAAGCCAGGGGAGCAAACGGG